UGCCCGUUGGUCCAGCCGGCAGGACGCCGCGCUCUGGUCGCGGAGACCGAGGUUCGAAUCCUCGACGGGCAG
rnacentral:tRNA from 1 species